UACGUAGGUGGCAAGCGUUGUCCGGAUUUACUGGGCGUAAAGAGCGCGCAGGCGGUUAAUUAAGGCGAAUGUGAAAGCCCCCGGCUCAACUGGGGAGGGUCAUUCGAUACUGAUUGACUUGAAGGCAGGAGAGGGUAGUGGAAUUCCCGGUGUAGUGGUGAAAUGCGUAGAUAUCUGGAGGAACACCGGUGGCGAAGGCGGCAUCCUGGACCGACACUGACGCUGAGGAGCGAAAGCCAGGGGAGCAAACGGG
rnacentral:rRNA from 1 species